GAAUGAUUUAGGUGUUGGAGCACUGCCACCCUCCUGGAUUGAAGACAAGGGGAUAGAGUGCAUGGCAGAAUGCAUUCUCCUAGGUCCUCUGGUACGAAGGACAUUGAGUUCAUACGAAAUGGUAGCUACUCUAUAGUUGCACGCAGGAACUCUUGGAGAAACUUGUUUUGCAUGAAAUCUCCGACUGAGACGACCAGGUUGUUGAAUGGCUGCAUCACUUGGAGGUUG
rnacentral:misc_RNA from 1 species